rnacentral:ncRNA from 1 species
GCAAAGGCUCUUCUAAGAGCCACCCACUUUGCUGAAACAGCUGUA